UUUGGAAUGACAUUUUUUUCGUCAACUGAACAAUCAGUAUGUUGUUAAAAAACAGUACAACCCAUUGAUCACACUGUACUUCUAUCUCUCACAGCCUCAUUUUCAUUCCUAUCAAAAACUAAAUUUGGCAAUAUU